rnacentral:rRNA from 1 species
GACAGAGGGUGCAAACGUUGUUCGGAAUUACUGGGCGUAAAGGGCGCGUAGGCGGUUUGCUAAGUUGGAUGUGAAAACUCUGGGCUUAACCCAGAGCCUGCAUCCAAAACUGGCAAACUUGAGUACUGGAGGGGAAAGCGGAAUUCCUGGUGUAGCGGUGAAAUGCGUAGAUAUCAGGAGGAACACCGGUGGCGAAGGCGGCUUUCUGGACAGUAACUGACGCUGAGGCGCGAAAGCUAGGGGAGCAAACAGG